AUACAUAUUUCUAUUUUUCUAGUUUAAACUUUUUAACAAAACAAAUUGUGUCAAAUAUCGGAUUAAGUAUUUAUUAUUUUCUGCUUUAGCAGUAUUUAUAAUCCUCUAGUCUUUGAUAUUUAAGUAAGAUGUGUAGAAGUUUUUUAGUCCUUUUUUUUUCCAAACAAAAAUUUUUAUAUUUGUCUAAUAGUGACUAAUUUAAAUCAAAAAAAAUAUAUUUUGCAGAUAAAAUAAUGAAAAGUUAAAUAACUUUUUUUAAGAAAUAUUCUAGAGAUAUUCUAGGGAGUCCCAUAUUAAGAAAUACUCUUUCAAUUUGUAGUACACUUAAUGUUCAACGAGAAAAUUACAAUAAAAUAAUAAUAAAAUAAAGCAAAAAGCAUAAACUGUCAAUAAAAAUCCUCAAAUCUCAAAAAAUCCUCAAAAAUCCACAUUUAAAGUAAAAGUUUAUACAAAUUUUAAACUAAUAGUUUAAUUUUUAUAUUAGAUUUUAAACCAAGUUUUUAAUUGUUGUUAUAAUAAAAAGUUACUUAAGCUUUAUGCAAGUAUAUAUUUAUGUAUUUAUUUUGCUUUCAUAAAUGAUGCCUACCAUGGCCAUAUUUAUGGCACCAUAUCUUUUUGGUAAUUUUGAAUAUUAAAAAAAACUAACAAUUUGAAGUCAAGUGCUUUUACCUAUAUAAUCCACAAGCACCCCGCUAAUCAAAAAUUCCAAGAACGUUUUGAUAAAGUGUCAUAUCCUGCUUGUUGCAUUGCCAUUUUAUGGAUGUUUCUUUUAAUAGCGCACUCAAUCAAUAAUUAUCUGAGACCAUCUAGACCAAUCAAUAGAAAAUAUUAUCCAGACCAAUCCAUUGAAAUGUAGCAAACUGUCAUUGAAAGACUUGUCCUAUGAAUUUUUUGCACUAUUUUUUAUUUUAUUUUAAUAAAGUCACUCUUAGCGGAGCAGUAAGCCACCACUAAUUAAGUUUCAGGUUAAGUAAAAAAAAAAAAGAAAAUGAUCGACAAAAAAACAUCAUCCAGAUUUGACCAGAAAUUUUUUCUGCCAAUAUGCGUGUCCAAAUAGUAGUUGUAAUCUACUAGACCAAACCACAGAUGAUGAAGAUUUAACUCCAACUUUUGGAUUUUCACAUAUUUUAUAUUUUAAAUAAUAUUUUUUAAUUUGUUUAAAACACUAGAAUUACAAAAGUUUAAUAUAGUUUUUAGUUUUAGUUUUUAAUUUUUUAUAAAACUUUUAAGAUUUUAUUUACAGUUUUUGUUUUAUUAAAGUUAUUUAGUUGUAUCAUUGCUUAUGAUAGUUUAAACAUGUAUAAAUAUUUUUGUUGUUUUUGUUUCUUAGUAUGCUUGUUAGGCAGGGCAACCAUAUUGUUUGGUGAACUUUUUUUUUAAUGUUUUGCUAAAGUUACUUAGUUAAUAUUAUAGUAGAUUAUAGUAAAAAAAGUAAUUAUAUUAGGUGAUAUUUCUCUUUUACUGACUUAAAUUUAAAAUAUACAAAGUAAAGGCAUAAAGAUCAAAGAGUAAACAUUUAGUUAAUAAAUUGUUCAAAUUAAAAAGUAAUUUAUGCAAAAGCACGUUUCAAAAAGAGGUUUUUAGAUUUAGUGCUGUAUUAGUUAAAGAUUUCAUUAGCAUUGCAAUAUGGCGCUUAAAGUUUUGAUUUCUUUGUAUAAUCUGUUUAUCAUAGAUAUAGGUUAUAAAAUUUAUAGCUUUUAUAGGUUAUGAAAUUUAUAAUAGAUGUAGGUUAUAAUAAAUUAUAGUGAAAUCUAUAGGUUAAGCUUAAAUUGUGAAAGUUUUAUUUAAACAUUAAUUCAAUCAAGUGAUUUAUUCAAAAUUGAUUUUCUAUAAAUCUGUUUAAGUUGAAUUUUAUAGUUUUUAUAGUUCAAUUUUAGUAUUAGACAGUUUUUGAAUAUAUAAAGUAAUGGAAACAUCUGCUAACGAUGGUAAGUGUUGAUUAAAUAAAGUAUUGUAGUUUAUAACUUUUUAGUUUAUGUUUAGUAGAAAUUUAUAUGCAUAUCUUUAUCAUUUGAUAGUUUAUUUUAAGUUAAAACUUUACUUUUUUUAGCAUCAGACCAGAGAUUUGCACUAAUAUUGUCAGAAUUAGCCGCUUUAAGAGCAGAAUUAAACAAAGAUGCAUCAAGCUUACCAACUGAUCAGGGUUCUUCAGUCAUAUCAACACCUCCGGCUCAGGAAGUAGUCAACAACCUCUCUAGUUCAACAAGUACUCCCAAUGAUGGCAUCAAGGAUUCAAAUGGAUUUUCAUUUAACCAGUUCUUGCUUUGGCUUACUACGCAUCCUGGUCCGAAGACGCGCAAAGCAUUUAAUGUUUGGGCCCGACAAGGUGGCAAAGACCUCCCCAACUUUCGAUGGGGAGGUAGAACUGGGAGCCGCAAGGGUCGCGGACAAGGUGGCCGAGGAGGUGACGGUAAAUGGUCUUUUGUACUAGGGCGUUUGUAUUUUCAGCUCUAGUUUUUAUUUUAUGUGUAGUUUUAUACUUAUUUAUGUUGAUGUUGUUGCUUUAUAAUUUUAUAUAUGUAUUUUUUAUUUGAAGUAAAAAAGAACAACAUUUCUUAUUUAA